rnacentral:tRNA from 1 species
GCUUUCGUGGUGUAGUGGUCAGCAUGUUCGACGCGUAACCGAGAGGUCCGUGGUUCGAUUCCCGGUGAAUGCG